rnacentral:rRNA from 1 species
GCCCUCAUGAAGCCGGAAUUGCUAGUAAUGGCAGGUCAGCAUACUGCCGUGAAUACGUUCCCGGGCCUUGUACACACCGCCCGUCACACCAUGAGAGUUGGGAAUACCCGAAGCCUGUGAGCUAACAGUAAUGAGGCAGCAGUCGAAGGUAGAGCCAAUGAUUGGGGUGAAGUCGUAACAAGGUACC